ACUUGCUUUGGCGGUGGGCCCAGCCUGCCGCCAGAGGUCUAAACUUACAACCAAUUUUUUAUCAACUUGUCACACCAGAUUAUUACUAAUAGUCAAAACUUUCAACAACGGAUCUCUUGGUUCUCGCAUCGAUGAAGAACGCAGCGAAAUGCGAUACGUAAUAUGAAUUGCAGAUAUUCGUGAAUCAUCGAAUCUUUGAACGCACAUUGCGCCCUCUGGUAUUCCGGAGGGCAUGCCUGUUUGAGCGUCGUUUCUCCCUCAAACCGCUGGGUUUGGUGUUGAGCAAUACGACUUGGGUUUGCUUGAAAGACGGUAGUGGUAAGGCGGGAUCGCUUUGACAAUGGCUUAGGUCUAACCAAAAACAUUGUUUGCGGCGGUAACGUCCACCACGUAUAUCUUCAAACUUUGACCUCAAAUCAGGUAGGACUACCCGCUGAACUUAAGCAUAUCAAUA
rnacentral:rRNA from 1 species